AGUAAAUUUGUAUUGGGAGUGGCAUUAAACAGCUUCGAGCCUCUUUUCAGAAGAAUUGUUGACUAUGGAGCAUAUUUUCUUCCUGUGUGCUUGAGUCAGAAAAGAAGAAAUGUUUAAAAAACGAUUGAAGACUUUUCUGUGAUAAAGGGCUUUAUCAAUAAAUUUGACUUGGCUUUUUGGCUGUGCAGAUUCUUCCAUUGACUUAAACCUUCAAGCGCCAAUGUAUGAAACUUGCAACAAACAUUUGCAGUAUGCCUUUAUCUAUAACCAUUUCCAUGCUACAAUUUUUGGAAAUACCUUUACUGGCUGU